AUGAGGCUUUGGCUCCAAUUUGUUCUCAUUAUAGCGGCUUUGGAAGGUGUCCGGUCACAGGUGCAGCUGGUGGAGUCCGGAGGGGAUGUGAAAAAGCCCGAAGACUCUCUCCGCCUCUCCUGCAAAGCCUCCGGGUUCACCUUCAGCAGCUACUGGAUGGACUGGGUCCGCCAGGCUCCUGGGACGGGACUUGAAUGGGUCGCUCAUAUAAACCCUAGUUUGGGUACUGCAUACCCUGAUUCAGUGAAAGGCCGAUUCACCAUCUCCAGGGAUGAUUCCAAGAGUGAGCUGUAUCUGCAAAUGACCGGCCUGAAGCCCGAGGACACCGGCCGCUAUCACUGUAGUUAUAUCGAUAAACAGUUACAUUCUAUAUUGUACUAUGCACUGGGCACGUUACCGGUAUCUUUGGUGAUCACAGGUGUCCGGUGUGAUGUGGAGCUGGUGGAGUCUGGUGGACGACUCAAAAAACAGGAGAGUCUCUAA